rnacentral:rRNA from 1 species
GACGAACGCUGGCGGCGUGCUUAACACAUGCAAGUCGAACGGAAAGACCCUGCUUUUGUGGGGUGCUCGAGUGGCGAACGGGUGAGUAACACGUGAGUAACCUGCCCUUGACUUUGGGAUAACUUCAGGAAACUGGGGCUAUACCGGAUAGGAGCUCCUGCUGCAUGGUGGGGGUUGGAAAGUUUCGGCGGUUGGGGAUGGACUCGCGGCUUAUCAGCUUGUUGGUGGGGUAGUGGCUUACCAAGGCUUUGACGGGUAGCCGGCCUGAGAGGGUGACCGGCCACAUUGGGACUGAGAUACGGCCCAGACUCCUACGGGAGGCAGCAGUGGGGAAUAUUGCACAAUGGGCGGAAGCCUGAUGCAGCAACGCCGCGUGCGGGAUGACGGCCUUCGGGUUGUAAACCGCUUUCGCCUGUGACGAAGCGUGAGUGACGGUAAUGGGUAAAGAAGCACCGGCUAACUACGUG